rnacentral:lncRNA from 1 species
UAAAAUUCACAACUCCAUGAUUUUGUUUAUGCCAUAACUGCUCUCUGCUUGAUGAGUUUGGAGCACAGUAAUGUUUCACCAGUUUCAAAAUCUUAAAGAAAUAUGGUUUAGUUUGGCAUAAAUUAUGUGUUAGCGACUACCAUCAAAUGGGGAUAUAAGUGCAGAACUAUCUACUCAAGAAUAAGGGAAGAGUUUCGUACAAAAAAUGAAUAGGAGAAGAAGAAGAAGAAGAAGUGAAAGAUAAAGCUAUCAUGAAGAGAAAAUAUCUUUUGGAACCUGUUCUUGCCAUCCUCCCCUUCCCGGAACUUCAGGAACUCCAGGAACUUCUUAGGUUGCAUCGAAGGUGGAAGAAGCAACAGCAUAAUAUGAUCGAGGUAACCUAAGAAGUUCCUGGUGUGCUAUUAUGAUCGAGGUAAUCAUCAACUCCAGGAACUCGAAAAGGAACCCAAUGAAAUGAAUCGAAUGGAGAAUAGCACACCAGUUCGCAUGCCACUCUUACCCUGAUUAACUCGAUCAUAAGCGCUGUGCAAAGAUCGACUUGCCCCUGCACAAACAUCAAAUUAGGAUAGUUAACAGAAAGCACCCCUGGAGAUAUUCUAUAGGUUGAUAGGCUCCACCAAGAACUUCAAAUAUACUUGCGCACCGACAAGAGGCAGGAACAUACCCCUACUGCACAUUAUUCUUCGUUAGAAAUUCCGAUGAGGCGAUGCACGAACCACCAGAGGUGACAUAAAAACAUGCCACCUUUUGACCUGAUGCGCAGUAGUACCACACUGAAUUGAUCAAUGAUCAUCACAGUUAGAUAAAUCCCAACUGGAGCAGUCUCUUGUGAACAACCUCUUGAUUGUGUGCUACAAGUCUACAAGUGUCCUGAUGCUAAAACAGAGUUCAAAACUGAGCAGAGUAAGUGCUGCUUCAUGGUUAGUUAACAUAAUUGACGGCGCAAUGUUUCCAUUACCACCCCCGAGUAACAAGUGAACUUACUAUAUGAAAAUUACCGUAGAAGAAUUGUUCUAUAGUUCCGGGCUUAAAAAAAAGCAUUUUUCUGCUACUAUGUUAAGCUCUAGAGCAGAGCUGCAUGACAUUGUUCUAAUGUUAAGUUUCAACGUAGCAUCAAUAUUUCAACAAAA